rnacentral:rRNA from 1 species
UUGACCUCAAUCAGGUA